rnacentral:rRNA from 1 species
CAGUCGCCGCGGGAAUACGGAGGGGGCUAGCGUUGUUCGGAAUUACUGGGCGUAAAGCGCACGUAGGCGGCUGUGUAAGUCAGAGGUGAAAGCCCGGGGCUCAACCCCGGAAUAGCCUUUGAGACUGCAUAGCUUGAACACGGGAGAGGUGAGUGGAAUUCCGAGUGUAGAGGUGAAAUUCGUAGAUAUUCGGAAGAACACCAGUGGCGAAGGCGGCUCACUGGCCCGAUACUGACGCUGAGGCACGAAAGCGUGGGGAGCAAACAGGAUUAGAGACCCCUGUAGUCCCUGUCUCUUAUAA